GACGAACGCUGGCGGCGUGCUUAACACAUGCAAGUCGAACGGAAAGGCCCUGCUUUUGUGGGGUGCUCGAGUGGCGAAGGGGUGAGUAACACGUGAGUAACCUGCCCUUGACUUUGGGAUAACUUCAGGAAACUGGGGCUAAUACCGGAUAGGAGCUCCUGCUGCAUGGUGGGGGUUGGAAAGUUUCGGCGGUUGGGGAUGGACUCGCGGCUUAUCAGCUUGUUGGUGGGGUAGUGGCUUACCAAGGCUUUGACGGGUAGCCGGCCUGAGAGGGUGACCGGCCACAUUGGGACUGAGAUACGGCCCAGACUCCUACGGGAGGCAGCAGUGGGGAAUAUUGCACAAUGGGCGGGAGCCAGAUGCAGCAACGCCGCGUGCGGGAUGACGGCCUUCGGGUUGUAAACCGCUUUCGCCUGUGACGAAGCGUGAGUGACGGUAAUGGGUAAAGAAGCACCGGCUAACUACGUG
rnacentral:rRNA from 1 species